CGCACAUUGCGCCCUUUGGUAUUCCGAAGGGCAUGCCUGUUCGAGCGUCAUUAUCACCCCUCAAGCCCCGUGCUUGGUGUUGGACGGCCGGUCGAAGGGUCCCCCCCUCGACCCCUCCUAAAGACAACGACGGCGGCCUGUGGUUCCCCCGGUACACUGAGCUUUUCACCGAGCACGUACCGGACGAGGGCGCCCAGGACCCGGUCUUCUCCUCUCGCGAGGAACUAUUUUUUCAAGGUUGACCUCGGAUCAGGUAGGAAUACGCGCUGAACUUAA
rnacentral:misc_RNA from 1 species